rnacentral:lncRNA from 1 species
CAAUUAAACUAACUCCCUCACUAACAUUUACUGAUUGAUGCUAAAGAUAUCUAAUGCCCCUAAACAUUUGCUUUUUAUCAUCGUGGCGAACAGCUUGUGAUUGCUGAAAAGAGUUUCACUCUCAACCCCUCUUAUUUAUGAGCACGAUUCCUGAUUUCUUCUAAAUAUCCCAGCCCAACUCCCUUUUUCUUCCUUACUAACAGAUGCUAGAAGAUAUCUAACACUAGCAGACACCUAACAGAAACAUUUCACAGACUUCCUUUCCUUAAAAGAUUUGUUUGAAUUCCUAGUUAAAGGAGUACGAUGUCCUAGAGUACACUCUAGUCUAUCAUUCUGUACCAUAGCACAUUUUCAUAUAUAGUGAAGUAAAUUUCCACAAAAUUUUCCUGAGAUUGUGUGCAUGUUUAUUGACAGGUUGCAAUAUACUCCCCAUGAGAUCAAUGGACAGCGGCUGUGGAAGGUUGAACGGUUGGCUCCCUGAUAAUUUGAUUUUUCUAUUAAAUAUCUCAACUUGUAAAAAACUAAGAAAAUAAAGUUGUUUCUAAAUCUCAGCCUCUUUUUCUUUCAGCAUGUUGAAUUGUGCUGUAUCUAAUUUUUUCAUAUACUUUUACUUUUUUUUAUGGCAUUCUAAAUAGACUUGAUCGCAGGCCUACAUUCCAAGUAAAAAUUUAAUAGUUCAGCAAAAGUAAAUAAAUAAAUAAAUCGGCUGAUAUCAUAUGAUAUGGGAUAGCUUCAUUUAGUCAACUUGAACUAAUCUGAAAUAUUAGAUAGUAGAAAACGUUAUCCAUUAUCUUAAGACAGUGUCUUGUAACAUGUAAGCGAUAAUAAUUAUGUGAAUACCUUGUAUUUAUUGUCCGAUAUUGGUUGCUAGCCCCCUGCCUCGUAUUUCUGAAAUCGCUUGCAUUUGUCACACCUGGAAUCUACCAAAUGUUUACAACUAUGUGAUUUUAAGUUGUUAACCUUUUUCAGCAUCCUUUUUUCAAAGCCGCAUUAUUCUAUUGUAGUUGUUGUAUAUACGGACAAGUAUGUAAGUUUAUUUUGUUUUUCAUGAAACUAAUCAUGGUACCUCAGAUCCAUUGGUUUGAGAUAUUCAAAGGUAUUGCCAUUACCUCAUUUUGAAAUGGAUUUUUCUGAACAGUGUAUUUUACAUUUCAAAAAGUCUAUUUUAGAUUGAGAGGAGGGUAGCUAAGGAAGAUGGGCCUAUAUUUUCAUAGGCCUACUAUUUAUGACAAACUUGAGGUUGUUGCUUCAUACACCCAGCAAAAUUUGAACCUGCAUCAUAGUAAUGUGAAAAGAAUAAAAGUACACUCUUUAGUUUUUAAAUAGGAGUAGGGGGGUUCAAGUUAAAAAUGUAUUUGGGAUUUGUUAUUCUGCAACGCAUUUUUGGAUUAGAUUUUUUGGAACAUUUUUCUGGAUUAGACAUUUAGGAACAAUUUUUCGAAAUAGUCUUUUUCAAAAUAUGUUUCUAGCUUCUUUUUUUUAAUCCAUUUUUUAGAAUAUUUUUUUGGAUUUUUUUUCUGGAAUCUAUUGUAUUAUUUGUAUUAUGGAUUUGUUUUUUUAGAAUGAGAUUUCAGUUUUUCAGUUCUAGAAUACAAAAAAUCUAUUAUAGAUUUCUUUUUCCAAAAUGUAUUUUUCAAUUAUGGAAUGAAGAGCAAUUCUAGAGUUUCAAAAAUCAUUGGGUGCAUAAAGCAAUUGGCCAAACUUGAUAGAAGAUGGUCGAACAAAUAAUUAAUGGGCUCUAAUUGAGUGUAGGAAGGGAAAAUACUUUUACUUCCUGCACCUCCAUAAUUACGAACUGACUCAUACUUAAAAAACCAAAAAUACCCUCCAUUGUGCACCACACUGCUAUUACCAUUGAUCUCACUUCCAUGUUACCUACACUCUUGAAGAGGAAGAAGAAAAAGUGAGAGAUAAUUAGUUGUAAAAAGCUCAUUUCAAAAGACAUUUCAUGUAUUAUGAAAAAAUUAUUCUAGAAAAUUUAUUCCGAAAUGUAUAUAUAUAAGAAAACUUGUAAAAAAAUUAUGUUCUAAAAUCUAUGUUAUGUGUUCCAAAUAAUUUGUUUUGAAAAUAUUAUUAAAGAAAUUCUGUUCCAAAAAAUCUAUUCUAAAAAUUAUAUUUCAAAAUUUAUUCGCAAAUAUUUCUAAACCAAAUAAUGUAGAAGUCACUUCUAAAAGAAUAAAAUGAUUAUUUUAAAUCAUAGAUACAGAUAUAAAUUUUGGGGUACAAGAAGAAAGAAGAAAAAACGAGACUCAUAGCAAGACCAAAACAAAAGUCUCGAGAAAAACACGGGCAGGCGAGAGAUAACAGAACGGGCAGAUCCAGAAAAAGCAUUGAAACCUGAACUGAAUCUGUCUUAAACAGUUUGAGGAUUUUAGCAGAAUUUGACGUUUGAAAAUUGAAGUCCCACACACCUCUACUCUCUCUCUCUCCUCCACUCUCACUUGCCAUCUCUUCACCAAUACUCCGAUCCCCAGCAACAUGAGUGCUAACGCCCCCACCCAAACCCAAACCCAAACCACCGCCACCAAACCUCACGAAGCCGAAACCCAAACCCAAGCCACCGCCACCAAACCUCACGAAACCCAAACCCAAACCACCAGCACCAAACAGGAAGAAUCCCAGUCUGCAUCUCAGCCUCACACCGCCGAUUAUGCUCCAUACCCUAAACUGGACCCAGACGACGUCGUGCCACCUCCUCCUCAACAACAAGAAGCUACCCUCAAUACUGAAUCUCGUGCCCCAAUCUCCGGCGAUGCUGCCACUACCAUGCCCAAAGACUCCAAUCCCUAUGUCACUCCUGCGCCCG